UACGUAGGGGGCAAGCGUUGUCCGGAAUCAUUGGGCGUAAAGAGCGUGUAGGCGGCCAGAUAAGUCCGCUGUGAAAUCUCGAGGCUCAACUUCGAGCUGUCGGUGGAAACUGUCUGGCUAGAGUCCGGAAGAGGAGAAUGGAAUUCCUGGUGUAGCGGUGAAAUGCGCAGAUAUCAGGAAGAACACCCGUGGCGAAGGCGGUUCUCUGGGACGGUACUGACGCUGAGGCACGAAGGCCAGGGGAGCAAACGGG
rnacentral:rRNA from 1 species